UGACCGAAUCAGAUCGGGGACCUUUUGCGUGUAAAGCAAACGUGAUAACCACUACACUACGGAACC